AACGAACGCUGGCGGCAGGCCUAACACAUGCAAGUCGAACGAGAAGCCACCUUCGGGUGGUGGAAGGUGGCAGACGGGUGAGUAACACGUGGAACGUGCCCUUUGGUUCGGAACAACUCUGGGAACCUGGAGCUAAUACCGGAUAAGCCCUACGGGGGUAAGGUUUAUCGCCGAAGGAUCGGCCCGCGUCUGAUUCGCUUGUUGGUGGGGGAAUGGCUCACCAAGGCGAGGAUCAGUAGCUGGUCUGAGAGGAUGAUCAGCCACGCUGGGACUGGGACACGGCCCAGACUCCGACGGGGGGCAGCAGUGGGGAAUAUUGGACAAUGGGCGGAAGCCGUAUCCAGCCAUGCCGCGGGAGUGAUGACGGCCUUAGGGUUGUAAAGCUCUUUCGCCAGGGACGAUAAUGACGGUACCUGGAUAAGAAGCCCCGGCUAACUUCGUGCCAGCCGCCGCGGUAA
rnacentral:rRNA from 1 species